rnacentral:rRNA from 1 species
GACGAACGCUGGCGGCGUGCUUAACACAUGCAAGUCGAACGAAGUGGCGAAUGGGUGAGUAACGCGUAAUCAACCUGCCCUUCAGAGGGGGACAACAGUUGGAAACGACUGCUAAUACCCCAUACUGAAGGAGGGGAUUGCGUCUGUUUAGCUAGUUGGAGGGGUAACGGCCCACCAAGGCGAUGAUCAGUAGCCGGGCUGGGAGGAAGAAAGGCCACAUUGGGAAUGAAAAACGGCCCAGACUCCUACGGGAGGCAGCAGUGGGGAAUCUUCCGAAAUGGACGAAAGUCUGACGGAGCAACGCCGCGUGAGUGAUGACGGCCUUCGGGUUGUAAAGCUCUGUUAAUCGGGACGCGGUACCGGAAUAGAAAGCCACGGCUAACUACGUGCCAGCAGCCGCGGUAAUAC